rnacentral:rRNA from 1 species
UACGGAGGGUGCGAGCGUUGUCCGGAAUCACUGGGCGUAAAGGGCGCGUAGGCGGCCUGAUAAGUCGGGGGUGAAAUCCUGCGGCUUAACCGCAGGGCUGCCUUCUAAACUGUCAGGCUGGAGCACAGUAGAGGCAGGUGGAAUUCCCGGUGUAGCGGUGGAAUGCGUAGAGAUCGGGAAGAACAUCAGUGGCGAAGGCGGCCUGCUGGGCUGUUGCUGACGCUGAGGCGCGAAAGCGUGGGGAGCAAACAGG